GACGAAGGUGGCAAGCGUUGUUCGAAAUCACUGGGCUUAAAGCGCGUGUAGGCGGCCCGUUAAGCGUCGUGUGAAAGCCCCCGGCUCAACCGGGGAAUGGCAUGGCGAACUGGCGGGCUUGAGGCAGGCAAGGGCGAGUGGAACUCUUGGUGGAGCGGUGGAAUGCGUAGAUAUCAAGAGGAACACCGGUGGCGAAAGCGACUCGCUGGACCUGUCCUGACGCUGAGAUGCGAAAGCCAGGGGAG
rnacentral:rRNA from 1 species